rnacentral:tRNA from 1 species
GCCUGGGUGGCGGAACUGGUAGACGCAAGGGACUUAAAAUCCCUUGAGGCCUGUCCUCGUGCGGGUUCGAUCCCCGCCCCAGGCACCA